rnacentral:rRNA from 1 species
AUUGAACGCUGGCGGCAUGCUUUACACAUGCAAGUCGAACGGUAACAGGCCGCAAGGUGCUGACGAGUGGCGAACGGGUGAGUAAUGCAUCGGAACGUGCCCAGUCGUGGGGGAUAACGCAGCGAAAGCUGUGCUAAUACCGCAUACGAUCUAUGGAUGAAAGCGGGGGACCGUAAGGCCUCGCGCGAUUGGAGCGGCCGAUGUCAGAUUAGGUAGUUGGUGGGGUAAAGGCUCACCAAGCCAACGAUCUGUAGCUGGUCUGAGAGGACGACCAGCAACACUGGGACGAGGACACGGCCCAGACUCCUAAGGGAGGCAGCAGUGGGGAAUUUUGGACAAUGGGCGCAAGCCUGAUCCAGCAAUGCCGCGUGCAGGAAGAAGGCCUUCGGGUUGUAAACUGCUUUUGUACGGAACGAAACGGUCUGGGUUAAUACCCUGGGCUAAUGACGGUACCGUAAGAAUAAGCACCGGCUAACUACGUGCCAGCCGCCGCCGUAAUAC